rnacentral:lncRNA from 1 species
CCUAGUCGGUAUAAUUUCAAUUCGAUCUUAGUCAUUUUAUCAUUUUUCGUUCUGCUUAGUUGGGACUAAGUCGGCAUAUUAGUCUUUCGACAGUAGUCAGCUUUUACAAUGGAGAGCCAACAUUGAGAACCGAAGUAUAAUCGAUGAUUUGAUUUUUGCGGUGAAAGUCUGUGUAGUCGAUGUCGGUUGAGAUUGCAGUCGGUAUAUCGAUUUUUACAUGAGAAUCAAAAUACAGUCAUCAUCGAAGUAGUUGAUUCUUUGAUUUUUAUAGUGAAGGCUGAGAUAAACUUCAUGUCAAAGUACAGUAGAUAGCUC